GGUUAUCUGGUCAGGUCAGUUUAUAAGUUGUGGGGGGUGUGUGGUUUUUUUUUUUUGUUUUUUUGUUUUGUUUGAAGCUCUUAACAAUUAAUGUUGCUGCUUAGUGUUUGGGUCUGUGCUGCUGUAUGUAUGUGAGCUGUAAUACUCACUGUGAAGGUCUUCAACUUCACUCCUGAAGUCAGUGAGAUCACGAGCCCACCAGAAGGAAGAAACUCCACACACUUCUGAACAGCUGAAGGAACGAACUCCGGACACACCACCUUGUAGAACUGUGACACUCAUGCCUUAAAAAGGAUAUUCUGUCAUGUGUGGCAAGAUGGAUAAACCUGGAGGACAUUACGCUCCAGUGAAACGGGUACUGCAUUUUGAUAAAUUGAAGGUUUGUGGAACGCUGCAUUGAGCAAGUCUAUUGGUACCAUUUUCCAACAGCAUGUGCUCACUUCAUGUCUCUGUGCCACAUUUGCAAUGCUUCUCCAGCUCGAGAGCACAUCAUCACCUGGAGAGCUCAUGAAAACAGAUUGCUGGGCUUCAUCCUCGAGUUUCUGAUUCAGUAGGGCAGGGUGGGGACUAAGAAUAUUCAUUUCUAAUGAGUUCCAGUGGUGCUGAUGUUUCCAGUCCAGGGAUCACCGGUGGAGACCCAUUAGUCUAUGCCAUCCUAGUCCCACCCGCCUGACACCUCAUGCUCACCAGAAGGACACCUUGGGCUGACCAGAGAGGAGGGUUUCUGUGUGAGAAGUGCUCCCAAAGCUUGCUGGCACAUAAACAUGAAUGAAUGAACAAUGUAGAAUUCACUCAAGAAAUUUCAAGGAGAGAGAGGAGGAGAUUUACAUCACACAGCAAACAACCUAAUAAAUCUGUUAAACGCCA
ensembl:lncRNA novel transcript